GCACAGAGAAAAUGCCAUAGUUCUGAGUCACAAACCCAGGAGCUACAGCCCAGCCUCCUGAAACCCAGAAGUGGAGUCUGGGAACCUCCAACAGUCAGGAGACAGAGGCAGCUGCUCACGCGCUCCGACCUUUCCUUCAGAGAACAAAACUCUUUGUCCAAAGACUGAGACCAGCAGCUGCUCUCCAGCAUGGAGCCAUCAUGAUCCCACCAGGUGGAGGCUGCCCGUGGCCUUCACACAUGGAUGCUCACUCUACAGGAGCCUUGGCCUCCAUUGACUCAGACCCCAGACCCACUGCCCCUCCUCGCGGGUCAGGAGGAGCUCACUGAAGACCCCCAGGUCCCGCCCACACUGCGGAUGGGGCAUCCCGGGAGGACAUACCAUUUGCAGCCCACCCAGCUGGUGAAUUGUUGGUUCACCACAGCCCCCCCCGCCCCCAAGCCCAUCUUCCCCAUCUCUGAGACACUGAGCCAGUGGUGGCCUUCUGAGCCCAGCUCAGGGUUUGGGGACGCAAAGUGAAAAAGGGCAGAACCCUGGGCCCCACCCAGACAGACUGGAGGAGAUCUGGCCCGGCCUCCUCAGCACGUGGGCCACUGGUCCUCAACUCCAGGUGCCCCAGAGGCUCCUGAGAAAGGUCUCAAAUGUGUGCUUCCAGGCGCUGAGGCCAGGAGACCCAUUCUGGACUUGGGGCCGAGUUGCUGGUGCCAGACGCAUGGGGGGUGGGCUCAGAGGGGAGCUGGGCUCACAGGGGCGGCUGGACAAGUGGGCCCUGGAGAGUUUGUUGUCAGAGGAGAGCUGGGGCUGGGCUCCACCCACUGGAGAUGGCCUCGGCCUGAGAUAGUGCUUCCACGUCACGGAAACUGUCUCCAGGCAGGAAUGACAGCGUCCCGUGUGCAACCAUGGGGCCUGAGAGACAAAGGAACUCAGAGAUGAUCCGAGCUACCUCCCUGCUGGAGAGACUGGGAUGCUGAGAAGGUGAGGCCUGGGAGGCACACGCCUGGGACCCAGGACCCGCUGGACCUCCUGACCCAAGGCCCGAGGUCCAUCCAUCUCUCUGCCUCCCUGGUCCCACUUAUCCCCUAAGACACAAGAGGGACAAGACCCCUCAGGUUUAAGGGUCUGAGCCAGAGCUGCAAAGGGCCCAGAAGUCAGGAAGAUGGAUCCAGACAAGAACCCAGGGAAGAGGCAGGUGCCAGACGCCAAGAAGCUCAGGCGCAGUGAUCUGUGUGGUGGAUGGGACGAUGAAUGCUGGGGCCACAGAGACCCUGGACACAAGCUGCUUCUACCUGCUGGCCUGCCUGCCCAUCCCACGCCAGGAGACGCUGCUCAGCCAUCACUGUGAACUCACCUGCUGACCCAUAUCACGACCUCAGCAUCCUUCUCAACACACGACCAUCUAUCCAUCGGUGCCGACUUACAACCUGUCCCCUCCCUGCCGGAUGCACAGAGUGGCCAUACAGUUUAUCAUCCAAACAAGGGCAGUUUUGAGAGUGAAAGAGAGCCUGUGACUAAUUCAUGGGGACACAAUGCAUGGGGGUUAUCCCAGGUGAGUUAGAGGCUGCGGUCACCCUAAUUCCACCUCAAUGAGGCUCCCAAAGCACCCACCCACUCCUUGUAGGUAAACCCACCUAAGAAAGCUUGAGCGCGUCUUCCUACAGGAUGGCUGGGGUGGAGGAUGGGGGGACUUGGGGAAGGAGGGGGGGUCUUGGUGAGGAAGGACAAGGCCUGCCUCAGGGUCACAGACUUGUCUGCAGAGGUGCCAUCCCCACUGGACUGUUCCCCUCCCCCUGCCCAGUGGUCCUUGGCACCACCCCCCUGCCCUGGUAGCACCAGCCCAUCACCUUCCCAUGAAAGCCAGUGUCUGGCCCCCGCCCUGCCUCUGCCUCACAGCGAAUAAUCGGUUCUACAGUAGUUUAAUGAGCCAGUUACGAACGCAUUUGGGUGUCUUACGGAGGCAGAAUCACCUUGUUUACUCCUUGGUAAUUAAAUCAGCUACAUCUGAUUUCUGUUUGGGGAGAUUUAUGGGCAUUUUCUGU